AUGAACGCUGGCGGCGUGCCUAAUACGUGCAAGUCGAGCGAACGGACGAGAAGCUUGCUUCUCUGAUGUUAGCGGCGGCCGGGUGAGUAACACGUGGAUAACCUACCUAUAAGACUGGGAUAACUUCGGGAAACCGUAGCUAAUACCGGAUAAUAUUUUGAACCGCAUGGUUCAAAAGUGAAAGACGGUCUUGCUGUCACUUAUAGAUGGAUCCGCGCUGCAUUAGCUAGUUGGUAAGGUAACGGCUUACCAAGGCAACGAUGCAUAGCCGACCUGAGAGGGUGAUCGGCCACACUGGAACUGAGACACGGUCCAGACUCCUACGGGAGGCAGCAGUAGGGAAUCUUCCGCAAUGGGCGAAAGCCUGACGGAGCAACGCCGCGUGAGUGAUGAAGGUCUUCGGAUCGUAAAACUCUGUUAUUAGGGAAGAACAUAUGUGUAAGUAACUGUGCACAUCUUGACGGUACCUAAUCAGAAAGCCACGGCUAACUACGUG
rnacentral:rRNA from 1 species